CCCGUCCAUAGUAUGAGGUCCU
rnacentral:siRNA from 1 species